rnacentral:tRNA from 1 species
AGGCUGGUAAGUUAAGAUUAAACUGGUGGGUUCAUGUCCCAUUAAUACAUUUUUUGUCUAGCCGA